CAUAAAAAAAAAUAUAUAUAAAAAUUUAGAAUUAUAUAUAUAUAUAUAUAAAAUUGAGCUAGAAUACUUUUAAAAGUAUUACCGAAUUAUAUAAAAUUGAGCUAGAAUAUUUUUAAAAGUAUUACCGAAUUGGUGCUUUUAGAUUUCUAACCCUUGGAUCUACUUCUUGAUUACUAAUAACCCUUAGAUCAAACACUAUUCCACCUACCACCACCUAUUAUCAUCAUCCAAACCUUAUAUUUUUUCAUCCAAUGGUUAAAAACUCAAAAAGCACCAACCUCAUAAUACUUUUAAAAGUAUUAGUUCAACUCUCUCUCUCUCUCUCUCUCUCUCUAUAUGAAUUGUAAAUAUAUUUUUAUAAAGUUAAGUUUUCAUUUAUCGUAUUUAUAAAAGUUUUAAUACUUUCAAAUAUAUCCCUCUGAUUUAUUAUCGUUAUAGAAUUAUUUCUAUUUUAAGUAAAAUAUUAAUUUUUUCAUCACAAAUAUGUCCCUCCAAAAGUCAUAACAGUAUAAUAUAAGAGGGGCAAAAAUAUCAAGUUAUCUCAUAAACUGACCAUGGUUAAUUAAAAUUUUAUAACAGAUUUUAACGAUAUGGAUAUAUAUUUGAAAAUAUUAACAAUUUUUUAAGAACAAUAUGAAAGUUAAAUUUUGUAGGGAUAUAUUUAUAAUUUACUAGAUUUGUACGGACCUUUAUGACUGGAAUUUAUCUGAACUAUGUAGAAUUUUGAGUUGGGUG
rnacentral:lncRNA from 1 species